GAAAAAAGGACUCAGGGAUUAGGGUCUGUGGAAUUUUGGAAGAUAUCUAAUAUCGUAUAAGUUAUUGGAUAAUUUUGGAAAAGAAAACAAAGAAUGUAUUAAUUAGUCGGAACAUGGCAGAAUCCCUUUCUUCAAGAUCCUACAGAUAUGGAUCGCUGCGGGGUAGGUUUUCCCUAUUGCGAAAAGAAUCGAUUGGUUGAAAUGAACUCAGACAAUUUCUAUAACAACCGUUCGGCUAUGGAGGCCAUGGUUUUCCCAAAGCAUGAUUGCUAAAUUGUUUGUUGUUGAUUCAUCGGAUCUGAUUCUAAACAAAGAAGAUGCCGGCUGCUUCCGAGGCAAGGUAUUCUUACUUAUCAAUUUUGAAAUAUUAGAACACAAAGCAUCGGUAUAAUGGUCGGAGGAUUGAAUGUUAUAUACGGGUGGUGAAAUAAAUAUUGAUGUUUUUGGCGCUCUACUUUUAUUCAUCUUGAUUAUUCAUGUUCUUAUUAUGUUUACUUGUCGUUCUUGAGAAGUACUCAAGGGCUGGUUUAUCUUCGUCCAAUACCAUAACCGAGACUGUAUGUAUAGAUAUACUCUGCUUGAAUUUGCCAGUUUCGACUCGUGAGCUAUGGAACAUCAUUAUUUUUUAAUGCCGUCGGGGAUGUACUGUUCAAAUUUGGAGGUUAGACACUAUUGAAUUUGGCUCUACCUGUGCAGCAGGGCCCAGAUGAUAACGAGUUUAAAUGUGCUAGCGGCUAUGGGGAAUUGGGGAAGUUCACAUAUGAGGUAUACCUCCAGCUUCCGUAGAUUUAGGUGGGGAUAGGUGAAGAUUCCAGGAAAUGCUUAGAAGUUUUAGAUAGAACGACCAUCAAGGCGAUUUCAGCUUCUUCCAUUACCAAGAAUAAAAGAAGGAUGUACUGCAUCUUUUUGUUGUUUGGACUUCAUAAAUCACAUGCUUUAGAUUACCAGUUUGGGCAGGUGGAAAUGCUAAAUCAAUUUGUGUUGAUGUGCUAGCUGGUUCAGAAAGUAAUAUGAUAUGCAAGUGAAUAAUGGAACAUAUUGAAUUGGCUGAAUUCCAUGCUGGUAACUCUGGUUGUACCUUCCAAUGAGAACCAUCCCUUCCUCUUGCCUUGAUACAAUACAAUUAUCAGGACUGAUAAUUCGGACAAGAUUAGGAAUAUUAUUAGAAUUUUCAAGGGUGUAUUAGUAAUUAGCUACAGAAGUGGUCGUACUAAUUUGUUAUAAAUAGUUGGGGAGGGGAAGGAGAAAGGGUUGGAUGGAUCUAAUUGAUUUAGAGCUUGAGCGAUCUCAAGAAAGAGAGGACCCAAGUUCCGCAACUUACUUGGUUUAUCUUUGGAGAUUGUCUUUCAUAUUUCAAUAUAAUAUAGUUUGGUUUAAGCUUGUAUUCUACCAAAUUGGGUCCUGGGCUUCAUAAUUGGCUAAAAGGUUAAAUGAUUGUGGGUUUAUGAAAUGAUGGUGUACAAUCAUUAUAUCAGGGAAGGUUUUAUUACUUAAAGGACAAAGGCAAAGGCAAAUUCUGGGCCCCUUUUAAUGUUCUAUUUCCACAGAAAUUGGACUGACGAAUAGCUGAAUAGGCUUCCUUGACAUGUUAGGUAACUCUUAAGGAGGAAUUUAGAGAAGAGAAUGGAGUUGUUCAAUUUGAAGAUUUGUUUAGUUGUAGGAUCUACAAUAUAAGGAGUUAAUAACUCAUGGAAUUGAUGUUUAUUAGUUGUAGUCCCUCAAAUUCUUUAGGCCUAACAAUGAGUAGAACAACUCCUCCUACUCCUAAGGUCACAUCCCUAAAUGACUUAGGCCUGUGAUGAGAUGCACUGUUGAGGUUCUUGUACCAUUGAUUUUUAUCUUGAGUUCUGAUUGGAUAUGCUAAAGCCCAGACUGUUGUAGUUUCUGGAAUUUUGUUCGUCAACUUGGAUGAUUUUACAAAACUCAUUCUUGCAAACAUAACAAAUUUGUGGAGCAGGGAUUUCUUCUGCUCAACAGAAACGAAAGGGAAAAAUAUGUUCUUCGUGCUUUCCUCCAGUUCUGCUUGCUAUUUACUCCUAUUUCUUCGUGUAUUGUGAUGAUAUUCACUGAGGCAUGUGACAGUAAAUUUUGGGAUAAGAAAUAAUGUGACGGUAAACAUCUUUGCAUUUGUGUGAAUAAAUUGAAAGAUCAUAUGCUAAAAUCACAACGACAUGAUCCUAUUCAAUCUUUCUAUAUUCUUUGCAAUGAGCUUCUGAGUAUUUGAUAUUGCCUCGGCCCUUAUUCACCUGAGUUCAUUCAACUCACUAGUUUCCAAUUAGCUUAAUUUUUUCCCUUCUCUGCGGAAAAAAUAUCCAAAUUCUAUAGGAGGCAGCCUGAAGUACGAUUCAACACGUCUUUUUCUUUUUAAAUAAAAUAAAUAUUCAUUCGAGUUGUUUUCAAAUAUAUUAAAAUGAUCCAAAAUAUUUAUAAAUAUAGCAAAAUUUUGCUUUCACAACAGACUUUGAUAGAUUGUGGUAUUUGCUAUAUUUGUGAAUAUUUUCAGCUGUUUUGUCAUUUAAAACAAUUUCCCUAUCCAUUAACGUAUUUCAUUCACAAAUGCAUGCACAUACACACAUAUUCCAUGAAAAAGAAAAGGAGUUGAUUCUCUCCUGUGCUCAACCCACAAGUUAGCUUAAAGUUUAAAAGUUAUUUGACAGUGACAAAUAUUUUUCUCGUAUAUGGACAAACAAGAACAAUUGGCAUUGCUGUCCCCAUGGAUGGAUAAAUAGUCAGCAUCUGCUGAACAUUAAAACUAAAAGUUGAAUGGAAGGCCAUGAACUGUAUGGUUCUUCCCCCUUCUCCUGGUUAAUCUUCAUGCCUUGUCAAUGUAGGACCAUGUAGUUUACGUUUGUCUGAUAACCAAUUGAUUUUUUAAAAUUAAGCAUAUAAACAUUAGUUUCGUUCAUGGAAACAAUCUACUUUUACAAAUGAAAUCAAAAUCCAAGCCAAGUUUUGAAUGGAAAAAUGUAACUUUUAUUUGAGAAUUUGAUUAAGAAUUCAAACGUUUCGUAGAUUAAAACUAGUUUAAAAAAAUGGUGAGAAAGAAAACACAAUUUUCAAAACCAAAAAUCAAAAGUUUAGCAACCAAGGGUUAACUAUCCAAAAUCUUGAUAUGGCUGGAAAAUGAGCUUAUCUCUUGAAGAUAGGAAAAAUUCAAUGGAUUAUCUUAUUUUGGUCAUUUUCAAUCAUUAGUGACUGAUGGUACAAAAUUUAUUGUCUUUCAAAACCAGCAGCCUUGUCACUGGAAGGAAAAGGAAAGACUGAUUUUUGGAAACUUGUGAGGACAAACUGCCCAUAAAAUAAAAUUUUGAGGAUAAACCUUGCAGAGUCCGAGUUGGAAGCUGCAUUUUUACAAAGUUCUUGUGCCUGAAAACGUGUGGGCCUAUAUUUGAAACGAAUGGGGAGGAACAGCUAAUGAAGGCUAAUGAUCAGGACAACUCUAGAAAUUUGAAAACUUUACAGCCACUUCUAAAUCUAAUGAAAUAAAAAGGGAAAAAAAAAAAAAAAAGCAAAAACACAAUAGCUGCUAAACUCUGGCUAUUUCAUACCUAUUCUUUAACCUUAUCUAUUUGGAACUGUAGGUUUGAAAUUUUGCGAUGUUAUUAAAUAAAUCCCCACCAAUAUUGGUCUUCCAUUGCUGUGCUGGCUGUGUUCAUAUGUUUUUCCUUAUUCACAAGUUUGAAAAUUCCAGUCAAGUGUCAAGAAUUAGCACACGGGUCUUCGCCGCCUGCUUCAGGCGGCUACUUUUAGCAUUAAUAACUAUGAUUACAUCUUUAUGUAGUAAUUGCAGUCCUCCAUUAGCUUUAUGAAUGAUCAAGAACCUGAAGCGUUAUAAUAUUUGAUCAAAACAUCUUUUUGCCGUAUACUUGAAGUACAGUUGGAAGAAUGAGAAUGCCGCCACAGUUAUUCAGCUUGAUUGUGAUAUUUCUUCACUUGCAGGCAUGAUAUUAGCUUAAUGGAGGAGAAGCAAAAGAACUGAUUUGGGAUUCUAUACAAUUGUCUGCCACUCUUGUAUACCAAGUGCGUCGUCGAAGUAAUGUUGUAGUUCCUACAGAGAGCAUACGACGUGGCGGUCCAGAUCAUAUGAGCUUGAAGGAAAGAGUGGCCUUGUGUUGCUAUAGGUCCACGCGGAAAAAACUGUUUCUUGAAGUGGCAUAGACGAAGAUGGAAUGGGGAAUAUAUCACAAGUCUAAAGAAGGUGCACAGAUUUUUCUAAGUAGUGGAAAACGUUGUCACAUAAAGUUAGAAUCCAAUAUCUCUAUAACAGUUGGCAGAAUCUCUAUUAUUAACAAAAAAAAAUUUCUUAAAGCCCUUUGAUGAAAAAUGUUUACAUAUAAAGACAGAAAGAGUCUACACAAAAAUUCAUGUGGUUCACUAAUAGUAUGUUAGUUACGUCUACAAGAUAGAUGGAGUGAUAAGUUCUAUUAUUUGAGAAAAAAACGUUAAAUUUAGAUAACAUAGGUGCUUCUAGAGUUGGAACAUUUAUAUAUAGUGCACUUUGAAUACAUCUUACCCAUUAUUAUUUUUUCAAAAUAUUAGAUUAAAGAUUCAAGACAUUUCAA